GUGAAUCAUCGAAUUUUUGAACGCAAAUUGCACUCUCCGGUUUUCCGGGAGAGUAUGCCUGUUUGAGGGUCAGCCUAAAAAAAAUCGACAUUGUUGCUGUUAUUUAAUGGUGACUUUCGUCGGAGAUUGGGUUAUCUUAAACCUUUUUUUUUUUUUUUUUUAAGCGACUUAAAAUUUUUUUUUUCGAUUUCAUAAACGUUUCUAAGAUUUUUUUUUCUUUUAUUUUUUUGGUUUUUCGAUUUUUUUUUUUACGUUACCCUC
rnacentral:misc_RNA from 1 species